AGUCGAACGCUUUUUCUUUCACCGGAGCUUGCUCCAUCGAAAGAAAAAGAGUGGCGAACGGGUGAGUAACACGUGGGUAACCUGCCCAUCAGAAGGGGAUAACACUUGGAAACAGGUGCUAAUACCGUAUAACACUAUUUUCCGCAUGGAAGAAAGUUGAAAGGCGCUUUUGCGUCACUGAUGGAUGGACCCGCGGUGCAUUAGCUAGUUGGUGAGGUAACGGCUCACCAAGGCCACGAUGCAUAGCCGACCUGAGAGGGUGAUCGGCCACACUGGGACUGAGACACGGCCCAGACUCCUACGGGAGGCAGCAGUAGGGAAUCUUCGGCAAUGGACGAAAGUCUGACCGAGCAACGCCGCGUGAGUGAAGAAGGUUUUCGGAUCGUAAAACUCUGUUGUUAGAGAAGAACAAGGAUGAGAGUAGAACGUUCAUCCCUUGACGGUAUCUAACCAGAAAGCCACGGCUAACUACGUGCCAGCAGCCGCGGUAAUACGUAGGUGGCAAGCGUUGUCCGGAUUUAUUGGGCGUAAAGCGAGCGCAGGCGGUUUCUUAAGUCUGAUGUGAAAGCCCCCGGCUCAACCGGGGAGGGUCAUUGGAAACUGGGAGACUUGAGUGCAGAAGAGGAGAGUGGAAUUCCAUGUGUAGCGGUGAAAUGCGUAGAUAUAUGGAGGAACACCAGUGGCGAAGGCGGCUCUCUGGUCUGUAACUGACGCUGANGCUCGAAAGCGUGGGGAGCGAACAGGAUUAGAU
rnacentral:rRNA from 1 species